AGCAGCCGCGGUAAUUCCAGCUCCAAUAGCGUAUAUUAAAGUUGUUGCAGUUAAAAAGCUCGUAGUUGAACUUCAGGCCUGGCUGGGUGGUCAGCCUAUCGGCAUGUACUGGUCUUGCUGAUUCCUCCCUCUUGACGAGUCGUAAUGCCAUUAAUUUGGUGUUGCGGGGAAUCAGGACUGUUACUUUGAAAAAAU
rnacentral:rRNA from 1 species